AACGUAGGUGGCGAGCGUUAUCCGGAUUUACUGGGCGUAAAGCGUGUGUAGGCGGGUCGUUAAGUGUCUUGUGAAAUCCCACGGCUCACCCGUGGAACUGCUGGGCAUACUGGCGAUCUUGGGCCGUUCAGGGGCAACUGGAACAAGCGGUGGAGCGGUGAAAUGCGUAGAUAUCGCUUGGAACGCCGACGGUGAAAACAGGUUGCUGGGGACGCGCCGACGCUGAGACACGAAAGCCAGGGGAGCAAACGGG
rnacentral:rRNA from 1 species